CUUAGCUUGCUAAGACUGAUGGCGACCGGCGCACGGGUGCGUAACGCGUAUGCAACUUGCCUCACAGAGGGGGAUAACCCGUCGAAAGACGGACUAAUACCGCGUACACUUGGGAUAGGGCAUCCUGACCCAAGGAAAUGAAAUUCGCUGUGAGAUAGGCAUGCGUCCCAUUAGCUAGUUGGUGAGGUAACGGCUCACCAAGGCGACGAUGGGUAGGGGAACUGAGAGGUUGAACCCCCACACUGGUACUGAGACACGGACCAGACUCCUACGGGAGGCAGCAGUGAGGAAUAUUGGUCAAUGGGCGAGAGCCUGAACCAGCCAAGUCGCGUGAAGGAUGACUGUCUUAUGGAUUGUAAACUUCUUUUAUACGGGAAUAACAAGAGUCACGUGUGGCUCCCUGCAUGUACCGUAUGAAUAAGCAUCGGCUAACUCCGUGCCAGCAGCCGCGGUAAUACGGAGGAUGCGAGCGUUAUCCGGAUUUAUUGGGUUUAAAGGGUGCGUAGGCGGCCUGUUAAGUCAGCGGUGAAAUCUAGGAGCUUAACUCCUAAAUUGCCAUUGAUACUGGCGGGCUUGAGUGUAGAUGAGGUAGGCGGAAUGCGUGGUGUAGCGGUGGAAUGCAUAGAUAUCACGCAGAACUCCGAUUGCGAAGGCAGCUUACUAAGGUACAACUGACGCUGAAGCACGAAAGCGUGGGUAUCAAACAGGAUUAGAUACCCUGGUAGUCCACGCAGUAAACGAUGAU
rnacentral:rRNA from 1 species